rnacentral:RNase_P_RNA from 2 species
GCACACAGGCAUUCCUGGCUGGCCCUUUGAAAGGUCUAAGCCUGGGGCCUCCGGUAUCCCUGAGAUUUCCCUGAGUGGGAAGAUGAGCUCCCAGAGAGCAGGGCUCCAAGUGUGGACUGGGCAGGAGGGGCCCCUAGUGGGCAGAUGUCUCCCACACCGAAGCUUGGAACAGUCUCCUGGUCACUCAUUUUGCUCAGUAAAUGGCUACCCUUCCUGCUUCCUGUCUAAACAGAUGUAGUCUCUGAGUUGUACAGAGAAGGUCUCCAUUGACACCAUCGUGCCACACUCAGCUCAUUGAGAAGCAACAACCACUCCUUUCCGUGU